GACGAACGCUGGCGGCGUGCUUAACACAUGCAAGUCGAACGGUAAGGCCCUUCGGGGUACACGAGUGGCGAACGGGUGAGUAACACGUGGGUGAUCUGCCCUGCACUUCGGGAUAAGCCUGGGAAACUGGGUCGAAUACCGGAUAGGACCACUGCCUGCAUGGGUGGUGGCGGAAAGCUUUUGCGGUGUGGGAUGGGCCCGCGGCCUAUCAGCUUGUUGGUGGGGUGAUGGCCUACCAAGGCGACGACGGGUAGCCGGCCUGAAAGGGUGACCGGCCACACUGGGACUGAGAUACGGCCCAGACUCCUACGGGAGGCAGCAGUGGGGAAUAUUGCACAAUGGGCGCAAGCCUGAUGCAGCGACGCCGCGUGAGGGAUGACGGCCUUCGGGUUGUAAACCUCUUUCAGCACCGACGAAGCGCAAGUGACGGUAGGUGCAGAAGAAGGACCGGCCAACUACGUGCCAGCCGCCGCGGUAA
rnacentral:rRNA from 1 species